CUUUCUACGCCAAAUUUUCAAAAAACGCGCCAGCUAUUAAAGUGGCUGCGCAGUAUUUUCGAGGGAAGAGGAGGAAAGGAUUUUCGAUGACACUUUUUUUUUUCCUAACGAAGGAGACGGAGUGAAGAUUUUCGAUUAAACCUUUUUAUCCUGACGGAGCCAAGGAGACGGAGAAAGAAAUUUUCUCGAAGUAAAAGGAGCGAGAGAUGACUUCUAAGAUGCAGAGCGGAGACCAGCAGUCCGGAGUCCCUGGUGUAAUGAACGAUUAAACAACCUACACAGAAGGAAGGCGUAUUGAACCAAGAAUUCCUGAGUAUUUACUGACUUCAGUAUGGCCGAUGUUUUGGGGAAGACCGGAGUCCUGCCGGUUGGAAGCGGCUGUGGGGGGUGGGGGAAAGUCGGGCCUCCAAAAGAGCUGCCCAUUAUUAAUUCUCAUAUUUUUUUUCUUCUUUCUUGCAGAUUGCAGUUGUAUAUUCAGACGUUUAAUUAUUAUUACCUGCAUCGUGACAGUAUCUGUCUGAGUUUUUCGCCUGUAUCAAGAACCCAAAAUUUUGUAUGAUGCCUCCCAAACGGGAACGGUGAACUGUUAAAUAUGUAAAGAAGAAAAAAACUAUGCUUAUGUGGAAGAGUGUUUAAGGCACACGAGUACCUGAGCAAAUCCUGCCCGAAUCAAUAUAAACAAAGCUUGGAAAUAGUACUCAAGAUGUAAGAUGGUUUAUAAUAAAAUUAUAUAGAGAUUUUUAUACUAA